AUGAACGCUGGCGGCGUGCCUAAUACAUGCAAGUCGAGCGAACAGACGAGGAGCUUGCUCCUCUGACGUUAGCGGCGGACGGGUGAGUAACACGUGGAUAACCUACCUAUAAGACUGGGAUAACUUCGGGAAACCGGAGCUAAUACCGGAUAAUAUAUUGAACCGCAUGGUUCAAUAGUGAAAGACGGUUUUGCUGUCACUUAUAGAUGGAUCCGCGCCGCAUUAGCUAGUUGGUAAGGUAACGGCUUACCAAGGCAACGAUGCGUAGCCGACCUGAGAGGGUGAUCGGCCACACUGGAACUGAGACACGGCCCAGACUCCUACGGGAGGCAGCAGUAGGGAAUCUUCCGCAAUGGGCGAAAGCCUGACGGAGCAACGCCGCGUGAGUGAUGAAGGUCUUCGGAUCGUAAAACUCUGUUAUUAGGGAAGAACAAAUGUGUAAGUAACUAUGCACGUCUUGACGGUACCUAAUCAGAAAGCCACGGCUAACUACGC
rnacentral:rRNA from 1 species